UACGAAGGGGGCUAGCGUUGCUCGGAAUCACUGGGCGUAAAGCGCACGUAGGCGGAUUGCUAAGUCAGGGGUGAAAUCCUGGGAGCUCAACUCCAGAACUGCCUUUGAUACUGGCGACCUUGAGUCCGGGAGAGGUGAGUGGAACUGCGAGGUGUAGAGGUGAAAUUCGUAGAUAUUCGCAAGAACACCAGUGGCGAAGGCGGCUCACUG
rnacentral:rRNA from 1 species